rnacentral:tRNA from 1 species
CAUUAAGUAUCUUAAUUUAAAGUAAUGAUCUUUUAAAUCAUUUAUAGUAAUUUUAUUAAUAUAUACUCUUAAUGA